rnacentral:rRNA from 1 species
CAGCCAUACCGCGUGAAGGAAUAAGGUCCUAUGGGUCGUAAACUUCUUUUGACGCAGAGCAAUAAGGGACUCGCGUGUUCCGAUGAGAGUAUGCGUCGAAUAAGCAUCGGCUAACUCCGUGCCAGCAGCCGCGGUAAUACGGAGGAUGCGAGCGUUAUCCGGAUUUAUUGGGUUUAAAGGGUGCGUAGGCUGUUGGAUAAGUCAGCGGUGAAAUCACCACGCUUAACGUGUUGUGUGCCGUUGAAACUGUCCAGCUUGAAUGCGCUCGUCGUGAGAGGAAUGUGUGGUGUAGCGGUGAAAUGCAUAGAUAUCACACAGAACACCGAUUGCGAAGGCAUCUCACGAGGGCGCUAUUGACGCUGAUGCACGAAAGCGCGGGUAUCGAACAGGAUUAGGUACCCUGGUAGUCCGCGCUGUAAACGAUGAUGACUAACCGUUGGUCUGGUAUGGAUCAGUGGUCAAGCGAAAGCGUUAAGUCAUCCACCUGGGGGAGUACGGCCGCAAGGCUGAAACUCAAAGGAAUUGACGGGGGCCCGCACAAGCGGAGGAACAUGUGGUUUAAUUCGAUGAUACGCGAGGAACCUACC